rnacentral:rRNA from 1 species
GAUGAACGCUGGCGGCGUGCCUAAUACAUGCAUGUCGUGCUAACAGACGAGGAUCUUUCUCCUCUGACGUUAGCGGCGGUUGGGUCAGUAACACGUUGCUAACUUACCUAUAAGACUGGGAUUACUUUCAUAAACCGUAGCUAAUACCUUAUAAUAUAUUGUACCGCAUGCUUCAAUAUUGAAUGACGGUUUUGCUUUCACUUAUCCAUCUGUCCCCGCCGCAUUAGCUAGUUUGUAAGGUAACGGCUUACCAAGGCAACGAUGCGUAGCCGACCUGAGAGGGUGAACGACGACACUGGAACUGAGACACGGGACAGAGGCCAACGGGAGGCAGCAGUAGGGAAUCUUCCGCAAUGGGCGAAAGCAUGAGGGAGCAACGCAGAGUGAGUGAUGAAGGUCUUCGGAUCUUAAAACUCUGUUAAUAGGGAAGAACAAAUGUGGAAGUAACUAUGCACGUAGUGACGGUACCUAAUCAGAAAGCCACGGCUAACUACGUG